rfam:Triticum aestivum genome assembly, contig: Triticum_aestivum_CS42_TGACv1_scaffold_527675_6DL
AAACUACUCCCUCCAUUCGGAAUUACUUGUCGCAGAAAUGGAUGUAUCUAGAAGAUGUAUUUUAGUUCUAGAUACAUUCAUUUCCGAGACAAAUAAUUCCGAAUGGAGGGAGUAAGAG